GGAAAUCUAGGAAGUUGCCAGUGGAUGCCUAAGCCCUGGUGGGGAAGGGGGCGGCCUUGUGAGAUGUCACAGUCAUCUGAUGCCUAGUAUCCCAGCUCCAAUUCUGAACAUUCAAUGUCUCACCAGCAGAACGGAAAUAAAGGAACAACCCUUGGCUGGCUUCUGCAGACAAUUCUGGGCCAUCCUGGUGCCCCGAGCCAGCUAGUGGCCUAGAAUCCCUUCUAACCAGGGGCAGUGGACACAGAGGAAGGAAAGAAAGGUUGGAGACAGAGGAGAGGGAGGGAGCAUUAGGGAGAGAGAGAGGUGGAGGAGACGCUGAAGGCUGAGACAACCGUCCAUGCUGCCUGCUGCCCACCUGCUUGGGAAGAGGUAAGUCUUGGGAAGAGGUAAGUUCUAGCAAUUUCACCAGCCACUUGCCCACCUGAGCUAGAUAGGGUGGGUGGUCAGUAUCCUUGGGGCUCAGGUGACAGUUGUCUUUAGCUGCCUCUCCCCUUGGACUCUAAUUUGCACAGAUGAGCUUGAAGGCCCGCCUGGGAGGUCAACAUCUCCUCCCUCUCCUGUUCCUUCCCUCCUGGAGACUGGGCGGCCUGAGGCAACUGCAGAAGGCAAUGAGUUGGUCUUCCUGGGGUCCAAGCCUCCUUUUGGGGGCCUCUUUUUCAUCUUGGUGGCAACUGUUUCCCUCCAGAGGCUACAGGUGUCAUGGAAAACCCAGCUCUGGACUCAAACAGACCUAGGUUUGAAUCCUGACUCAUCACUACUACCUGCGUGAUCUUGAGCAAAUGAAUUUUCAGAGAGAAUAAGAGGUACCACACCAGCCGGGUGGAGGGAUUAUUCAUGAGAUGAUGACCCCUUUCGUGCCCAGGCCACCCCUUGCUCUCACUCCCCCUUCUCAGUGCAAACCUACUGUAGAGAGUGGCUUGUACAUCAGUGCCCUCAGGAGUUAAGAGCAGAUGCUACCUUCUCUGCAUUUUGAUAGAGAACAAACAACUCUAUGAACGUGUUUACCAGAAGUUUAAGCAAAUCUCUUUCCCUCGUUGGGGACUCAUUUUUCCCUUCAAAAUGUGGAAAUGGAUGGCAGACCUAGAUGAUUCCAGAAAUUAUUCUGAGUCUGAGAGACUGGGCACUCCCAGGAGCCCAGUCCAAGCUAAAUUGUAAUAGACAAAUCACCAACGGGAAGCGAUCUAUGAGAGCCGUUCCCUGUUAUUCCAGCUCUACUCAUUAAUGCCUGCUUCUUACCUAACAGUAUGCUGGGUAUCGAGUGAGCUAACAGGCCGUGUAAUAAUAGCUAAAUGUCACCAUUCCUGAGGGCCUAGUGUGCUAAGAAAUUCAUCUAUUUAAUCUUCAGAACCCAAUCCUCUCCUUAUCUUCAUUUCACAGGUUAAUAAGUAAGAGACGGUCAAAUGCAAAUUUGGGUCUAGUGGACCCUCAAGUCCAUGCUUUCACCCAACAUGCUACUGUGAGUGUCUCUCUCUUACCGCAGGACUCUGUCAACCCGGAGAAGCAGCUCACUGUGUCGGUAAGGAGACAGGAUGUUGGGCAGAAACCCCGCUGAGAACUAACACCACCACCACCACCACCAAGGGCAAGCUCAGGAACAAUGAUGGUGUGGGCGAUUGCCCACGCAGCAGGGUGGUCUGACAAGAGGGCAGACCCAGGCAGAAAAGACACACAGAGACCGGCAGGGAGCAGAGAGAGGAGAGUGGGAGAGCCGGGGAGUCGGGCUUGUCCAGGAAGACUUUCUGGAAGGUGAAGGAAGGAAAGCAAUGUUUACGGGGCACCCAGCACUCUGUGCUAGGCAUUUCAGAGAAGUGAUUUCAUUUAUCAAAAUGUUAGGAUGGCUCUGUGAGGGAAGAAACGGCACUCUUCUGACGGGUUAGGAAUGAUGGGCUGGGAAAGGGAAUCAGUGGUGCAGAAGUUCACUGCUAGGAACCAGGAGGAGCCAGGAUUUGAAUCCAGCCAGCAGGGAUGAGGGUCUCUCUCUCUCUAAACUCUGCGCUCCCAGCACCCAGCUUCCCAUCCAGAGCAGAUGGAGAGCCUGGACUUUUGCUUUCACUGAUAUUGGCUCCUGUUCCCCAUGCACACCCUCAGCUCCCCCAGCUUAAGUGGGUUGUGAAGUCACCGCCUGUCUUUCCUGCCAGCUGCUUCAGCCUCAGGCCGCACAUCUGGAGGGUGGGACUCCACCCGUCUUCAAACCAGAUGUUCGGGGGUGGAGGGGGUGGAUGGCGGACUGUCACUGACCAAUGCCUCCUGUUUGUCUCUUCUCUGGUAAUCCUCUUUCCUUUCUUGUCCAGGGAAUGUGCAGCUUUGGGCAGGGGCCUUGUCAGAUUCCCUCAGUAGCUUCCCCCUCCCACUGCUCCGGGAACUGGUGACUGGAAACUCGGAGAGGUCUGCAAGACGCAGCCACUGCACGGCCCUGGGUUAGUCACAGCAAAGGUAUUUGGCACCUCCAAGUACCUGCAGAGCCUUCCUGGGAGGGGAAGGGGAAGAGAGGAGACAGAGGCAGAGAGAGAAACGGACACGUACACCCAGAUAGAGAGCAGAGAAAAACACAGAGGUGGGGAGAGAAUAAGAGGCAGAAGGGAGAAAAAAGCAAUAUGGAGAAAGAAACGCAGACAGGAAUAGAGGCAGAAAGCCAGGAAGAGAGCGAGGAGGACAGAGGCAGGAUCAAAAGGCAGGAAAGAGAAGACGCUCCAGCCAGCGUGGUGCCGACCAGUCAUUCCUGCUGCUUAGAAGGCAAUUUUAUAAAAGAAAAGAGGAGAGGACAAGGAAACAGUUACUCCUAAGUAAUGAAAUUGACUUUCCAGUUUGAAGUUGGAUGUUGACUCAGGGCUCUUUGACUUUUGAAAUCAAUUUUUCAGUUUCAUAGUCACCUCUUAAGAAUUGUUGUCCAAACUCAGUUUCCUUAUCUGUAAAACAAGUUAAGUGACGGUCAGUUCACAGAGUUGCUAUGAGGACUGAGCGGGUUGCAGGAGCCCACAUAGACUGUGAGAUGCUGCACAAGGAUCAGGUCCACGGUUGCAGCCUAAGGGGCAGAAGAAAAGGAGCUCCAAGAAUCCCCCUUUGGGUUGACUUUUAUGACCAGCUGGUGCCCUUUCCCAGACAGUUGGUCUGAUUGGAAAUGGAUCCCCAAGAAGAAAACAUUAAUCUUCACAUAAAAGAUGCCCAAUAUUUUCAGUAGAUCCAGCUGGGUAACCAUGAGAAAGUCACUUCAGCUCUCUGGGUCUCUUUGAAAUGACAGCUGGACUAAAUAAUAUUUUAAAGCUACCUUUAGCUUAAAGCGUGGACAAACCCAUGACCACAGGGAUGAGGAGGUGCUAGUGUGGUGAAGGCUUCACCAUGGGAUGAAGGCUUUCAUAUUUGGAUGUGACUGGGUGAGGGUUGGGCUCUUCUCAGAUGUCCCUUCCUCCAGGAAGCCUUCUCUGAUUCUUCCAGCACAGGUACAGUGUCUUCCUCUGGGCCCCCAGUCCAGUGCUACCCUAACAUGUGUUAUGGUUGUCUGUGAGAUGACUGUUUCCUAACUGGACCAUGAGCUCCUGAGGGCAGAGACUACCUUGUUCAGCCCCAGGUGCCCAGGGCCCAGGGCCUGGCAUUUGCAGGUGGUCAGUGGAUGCUUGUGGACUUGAAUGGGACUGAAUUGCCAGCCCACAUUCUUUCCCAUUAAGCCAGACAUUUUCAAGGAGGAAGGGCUGGGGCCAGGCUUAGCCGCCGGAGGCUUUGGAAGCAACCUUUAGACAAUUUGUGCUGUGCUCCAAAUGCUUUCUGGGAGCCAACUGAGAUUCCAGGGCAGCUGAGAGCCAAAAAGGGCGGGAGGUAGACUCCCUGGCUGGAGGGAGCCUGGGUGGGGUGGGGGACAAGAAAGGGGAACUACCUCAACACAAUGGCUAGCAUUUCUCCUGCAUUUUCUACUUUACAUAAUAUUUCCACAACACCAUUUUGUUUGAGCCUCAUGCGAAUCCCAGGGCUAAGUAGAGCAGUUCAAUAGCACGAUUUUUCUUUUUCAGACAAGUCGGACAAGACUGAGAGAGGCGAAGUGACUUGCCAGAAGUCACACAGCCAGAUUUGAAGUUGAAUCUUGAAUCCUCAGAUUUCAGGUCCAGUGUUCUUCCAAGACCAAAAACAAAACAAAACAAAACAAAUCAAAACAAAAAAAUUGGGAGGUGAUGUCCAUGGGUCUGUGUUAUUUUCCCAUUCAUUGGUAGCUUAAUGAAUUGUUCUGUCUUUCUCAUCCCAUCAAUAUUUAAAAAUUACCACAAUUGGGGCUGCUAUUGAUGGGACACCGGUAAAGUGCUUUGUUGUAAGUCCUUUAUCAACAUUAUUAUAUUUAAUCUGAUCGAUGACCCUAUAAGACAAGUUCUAUUACUAACCCUAUUUUACAGAUGAGGAAAGUGAGGCUCAGAAGGAAUAAGGAACCAACUAAAAAUCAUAAAGCCAAUGAGUAGCCUAGAUUUGAACCCAAGAUGUGAGACUCCAGAGUCUGAGCUCUGAACCACCCACCAUGCUGCUAAGAUUUAAUUCUUUACACCAAAGCAAUAACCACGCAGUGAGUGGGUUCCAGCGCCCAGCGAUGAGCUCAUGCACCAGUGUCAGUGGAGAGGCAUGUUGUUGGCCUUGUGUCUCCAGACUUGGAGACUGACCUGUCCUGGGCCUGCCCUGUCCACUCAUGCCUGAUUCUUGCCUGGGCUUGGUCAGUACAGGUACACUGGCCACUAUCUGCAAAGCUGGAGCAGCAUAAAACUAAUGAUCCCAAGGGUGAAGCAAACAGAAGCCUUGCUCUUGGCAGCCUGAGCUCAUCACCAAGAGUCCACCAGCCUGGACAUGGCCUCGUGUCCUGGCAUUGUGGAGCAGUGAAAAGAGCUUGGUGUUGGGGUCAAACAAAGCCAGGUUCCAAUCCAGCUCCGAACCUUAGACGCUGGAUGACCUUGGGAAAGGUAGAUAAUCUCACCAAACCUCAGUUUUCCCACUUGUAACAAGGGCCUAAUAUGAGUCUCAUAAUAUAAGAAUGAACUAGAACAACCUACCUGAGGUAUCUUAAUGCAGUGGCCAACAGAUAGUAGAUACUUAUAAUUCUUCAUUCAAGAGAGGGUGGCCCAGGAGAAAGAGCAUGGGAUUUGGGGUCAGACAGAUCUGGUUUCAAAUGCUGGUUCUGCCAGCUGUAAGUUGUAUAACUUUGUACAGACAGCAACCUCUCUGAGCUUCAGGUUCCUCAUCAAUAAAACAAGGUUGACAACAACUGCCUUAGAGAAAAUGGCAAAACCAAGAAAGGGUGUCGGGGGCAAGGGUGUGAUCAGAGUUCAGUGAAGAGUAUCUUACAUCAACAGUAAAAAGUUGAUCUUCCCCUCUUCCUUUUCUUGGAGUGGAGCAUGGGAGAAUUCAUUCAUUAUUUCAUGCAUCCAGCCAAAAUUUAGAAACAUUAUCUGCCAUGUAGAUAAAUAAUGAUGUAACUUGGAAGGUGGUUAGACUGAGCUGUUUGCUAAGUGCCCUUGCCAAUCUGGGGACAGCGCAGUUGUGGGGAGAUGGACUCAGGUCUUAUCCUCGACCAGAACGAAGGUAGCCCCUAGAAGGUAGAAGGCAUGGGGCCAACUACGAUGGAACAUUAGAAGCCCCUGGUCUCUGCCCCAGGUAUCCCCAGUAACACCUGUGGCCUCUGUCUCCCUCGGCCUUCCUGAGCCAACCCAUGGCACGGUUCUGGCUUAGCUAGUGACUAAAACUCCAUUCUGGUGAUACUUUUGGGUUCUGUUUCCUGGGUUUCCCUCUGGGGCUUAUUGAAACUCUGGGACAUUUUGCCCCCGCUCCCAAUUCCCUCUCUGUUAAUAGCUGACCCUGCUUGGCUGUGUUAAUCCACUUGGGUAGCUGUAACACAUUACCAAAGACUGAGGCACUCAUAAACACAGUUUCUCACACUUUUACAGGCUAGGAAGUCCAAUAUUAAGGUGUUGGCAAAUUUGGUGUCCAGGGAGGGUCCACUUUUCGGUUCAUAGACGACUGUCUGCUCACUGUGUCCUCGAAUGCCAAAAGCAUCAGGGGAUCUUUCUGGGGUCUUUUUUACAAAGGCAUUAAUCCCAUUCAUGAGGGCUCUGCCUUCAUGACCUAAUCACCUCCCAAAGCCCCCCCCCCACCCCAAAAUACACACACAAAUCCAUUACCUCAAAGGUUAAGUUUCAACAUAUAGCCGUGCUCAGUGGCUCACACCUGUAAUCCCAGCACUUUGGGAGGCCAAGGCGGGUGAAUCGUGAGGUCAGGAGUUCAAGACCAGCCUGGCCAAGAUGGUGAAACCCCGUCUCUACUAAAAACUACAAAAAUUAGCCGGGCACGAUGAUGGGUGCCUGUAAUACAAACUACUCGGGAGGCUGAGGCAGGAGAAUUGCUUGAACCUGGGUGGCAGGGGUUGCAGUGAGCCAAGAUCGCACCACUGCACUCCAGCCUGGGUGACAGAAUGAGACUUCAUCUCAACAACAACAACAACAACAAAAAUUCAACAUAUACAUUUUGUAGGGGGGACACAAACAUUCAGUCUACGGCAUUAGUCUUCUCUGAAGAUCCCUGCUUUGCAGUGCUGUUGGUCUAAACUCUAACCCAGCCCUCUCUGGCAAUGAUAAAUAUUCAUUUGGUAGAGACUGAACUGUGGUUGGAAGGAAGAGUGAGGAGAAUAGUUCCAGGUCAAACUUAGCAUGCCAAGCUCCUCUGGAUGGUAAUGAGUCAGGGCUAGAUAGGGGUCUGUUUGAAUGAGAGUCUGAUGCCUUCCCUAAGUGCAGUAGGAGUCAGUGCCUACUAGUAGAGUUCAAGGCCAUGAGCCAGGAUUGAAGGAGGGUAGACGUAGGGUCAAUAUCAAGAGUGGUAUCUUUUACAAAUUCAUUCUGUAAGCACCUACUAAGUGCCAGGUCCUGUUCUAGGUGCUAGAGACACGGUGGUGAAUAAGAUCGAUGUGGUUGGAGACAGGCAACAGACACAUAAAUACAUCACUAUAUUGUAUGUUAGCUGGGAGAUGAGCUACAGAGAAAAAUAAAUCAAGAGAAGGGGACAGAGAACGCCAUGGGUUAGAAUGGGUUCAAGUUUCAACAGUGCAGCCAGGGAAGCCCUCUAUGAGAAAGCAGUAUCUGAGUAGAAAUCUGAACUAGGUGUGGGACGGAAUCAUAUGAACAUCUGGGAGAAGAUUGUUUCAGGGCAAGGGCAAGGGCAAUGGCCUCGAACUUGGAGCACACCUGUUGUGUUCAGACGACAGCCAGGGCUUCAUAUCUAUUAGAGCUCUUAUUGCCUAAACCCCUUCUGCAUCAUGGGGAUGAGGUCUGAGAAAUAACGGUGGUGUACAGGUGGCAGCGGGUGUAGAUCAUGUAGCACCUUGUCAGACAUGGCAAUGACUUAGACUCUUUGUGGGAUGGGGCCACUGGAUGGGGUGGAGUGCUAGAAGGGUGACCUACACUUUGCAGUGUCAUCCUGCUCUGCUGAGAAUAUACUGAAACAGGGCAAGGGCAGAAACCAGAAAGCCAGCUAGAAGGUGGCUGCAUCGAAGGGUGAGAGAUGGUUGGAUUCUGGAGGGAUCUGGACCUUGGGAUUACAGGGUUUGUUAACGGAUUUGAUUGGGUGUGAGGGUGGGUGGUGAGAGAAGGGGCAAGCAAGGAAGACUCCAAGGUUUGGGGUCUAAGGCACAGUUGCCUAAGGUAACUUGGAUGGGAAAGGCUGAGGAAGGCACAGGUUUUGGGGUGGGGAGAAGAUCAGGAGUUCAGUUCUGGAACUGUGAGGGUGAAGGCCCAUCAGACAUCCAGGGGAGACACCUCAUAGCAGUCUCUGAUAUGUGAAUCUGGAGCUGCGGGUUUUCAAACCAUGACACCAGGUUAGAGCAACAAAGGAAUGAAGGUGUGUGUGCAGGCAGGGAGAAAAAGAGGACCAGGAGCCCUGAGCCCAGCCCCCAGCCCCCAGCCCCCAGCCGGUGUUGAAGCUGAAGGGUAACCCAGUGACGCCAGGAGGGACGCUGGUGAGUGUGUCAUCCUGGAGCCAAAGUGGAGGGGGUGUUUCAAGGAGGAGCAAUGGACCAGCUGUAGGUCAAAUUAGGUAAGAUGGAGCAGUGACCUUUAGAGGUCACUGACCUUAGCAGGCGCAAUUGCAGUGCAGUGGUAAAUGGCAGCAGGGCCACUCAGAAGUGGCCUCUGCUCUGGCCCUGAGAAGUUAACUCAGAAUUCCAGGGGAAAGGCGAAAGUGCUUUUUAAAGAAGAGGGGUGGGGUAGGGAAACAAGGCAUGCCCCUCCAAUGUUCCCCUGGGAUCUGGGGAGUCCAGGUGCGGGUGGUCAUGGGAGAGAUCGGGGGACAGCUCUCUUGGGCAAGGUGUGUCUCUGACUCAGCCAUUGUCAGUCGCGUACAGGCCUCUGUGGGUGCCCGGCAGAACUGGCCUAUAGGCAGUUUCUGGUGGUGACCUUGGCAGAGGGUGUUGACAGCAGUGGGAUAUCACCACCUUCAGUCAGAGUUGCAGAAUCAGAACAGGAGGAAUAAUGCCACUUGUUUGCCAAGAGGACAAAUUCUGGGAGACCUUGUGACAGGCCCUCUCAGAGCCGUUGAGGAAAGGCUUGCAGGGGCUAAAAUGCUUAAACAGUGGAAGCAGAGCCAAAGAAAUCUUGUUUUAUGAUGGCCAUAGUGAUGGUUUACACUCAGACUGGUGAGGCCAGAGCUAAAAUAAUAGGAAGCAUUUAGUGAGCACUUACUAUGUGUCAGCUGGGCACUCUCUAAGUGCUUUAUGCAUGUUCUGAUGUUUUAAAGCAUAAAUGAUCCUUCUCUGAGGAAAAACACUGCAUACUACAUAUUCUCUAGGUUGUUCGUUUAUUAUCUGCCACUUCCUCAUUAGAUGAUAACCUCUUGAGGGCAAGAUUUGUUGAUUGGUGCAUCCCCAACUCCUAGAACAGUGCCUGAAAUAUAGUAGAUGCUUAAUAAAUACUUGCUGAGUGAGUACAUGACUACGAGUCCCCUAGGCAUUGAACUUGAUGAGCCCUCACUGUGAAUCCUUACUGAGGGUAAAGCUGGGAACAGCAGCCAUCCUUUAUUAAGCACCAACUGUGUGCAAAGUGCUAAGCCUGUGCCCUCUAAAUAUAGGUCGAUAUCCUGCAACCACUGAGAGCUGUGUUUCUGGUCACUGACUCAGUUUAGAACAUUCGUCUCCAUCCUUCUCACCAAACAUUUGCUCUCCUCACUACCAAAAUCUUGCUCAUUUAUGAGCUGUCCUCCUCCACGGAGCCACCUCUGAUAGAGCUGGCCUGCCUCUGGCCCCAGCCUCCCUUCAGCCCCCUCAGCACAAGGUUGUGGGUCUGAGCUGCGAUUAAAUUAAAAUGACUCAUUAAAUCACAAAAACUAUAAUACAAUGACUGCUUCUGCUACUCCUUCUACGACUCACCGCAUUUGUUCUGAGCACUUGCCGCGUGCCGGGGCUCUGCUGUCCCUGUCCAGGCCUCAUCUUGUUUCACCCUCCCACCACCCCAGAAGGGCAUCCUAUUUCUUUUAUUUUGCAGACAAGCAAGCAGCCCCUGCUCUCGGCCAGUCACCUAACCUCCUUCUGGGGGUCCUGGCUCCUUGUCGAUCUCUGAUCGACAGGAGAUCAGAGAGUUCCUGAAGCAGAGAUGGUGGGGCAAGGCUGAAGUGCAGAGUGGUGAAUGCCAUGUUUUACCAUGGGGAGCAUGCAUGGGGGGCCGGCUUCUCUGGCGGAAGUGUGUGGGAAGCAGAGAAAUGGAGCGGGGGUGAGUGGAAGCCCCAGAAUGCAGCAAAGGGAAAACCGAGCACUCUGGGGAACAGCUCCAGCCUCCCCCAGAACCACUGAAACCACCAGAAGGGUCAGGGGUUGGUCCCAAACAACAUGGACUUCCUCCUGGCAGUGAGCCAGCUGGAGAACCUCAGCAGAGGCCAAGAAGAGCCCCUCGGGGCCCCUGAGGAAGAUGUAUAUAUGGGGGUUCCAUCAGCAGCACUGCCCCUCUCCAUCUCUGCCUGAGCUCUCCUUUCCCCCCAGAAAACCAAACAGUAGAGCCUGCUGGGGUCAAAGGGUCAGGUUGUAUGAAAGGUCAAAGGUCACGGGUCCUGUGGGCCUGCAGAUACAGAUCCCAUGACUCCAAGUCAGGCCGGUGGGAGCUCCUUCCUAGUCCCAGGGAACAACCCCAGGGGCCCACACUUGGCCACCUCCAGAAAUUCCCAACUCCUGACUCAGGCUGUCUCUAGAGGGGCUGCAGCUGCCUCCAGAAGACCCUGACUGCCCCAUGACGAUGACGCAUAGGGAGCUUCCUGGGGAACGGCUGGCUCCACCUCAGGAAGGGCCCAGGCCCAACAGACUCCCCAGCAGGGGCCUACACCCAGCCACCGCUGGGCUUCUUAGCCCACCAGAGACCUUCACUGGCUCCCCACGUUUCACAGGAAAAGUCCCUAUUUCUGGCUUCCGAGGUUUCCACCACCCUUUCAUUCUCGUCUAUGGAAUCUUUAAGAAGCCCCACACUCCAAAGGAAUCUUUAUUCUUGGGUGUUGAUUUAUCCCAUACACUUAACGCCCAUUGUGCCUUUCAUCAAUCCCUCCUUUGGCCAACACAGAC
rnacentral:lncRNA from 1 species